GCCCUGGGUUGAUGACUAGGGUGGAGAGAUCGAGAGGCUUCGAGCGGGAACGGGCGAUUGCCGGUAAUAAUUAAACGGUCACUCGCGUUCAACCUGAGAAGUUUCCAGAGGGAGCAUCACUAGUGAUUAUUGCAUAAGCACCCUCCUAAAUUUAGAUAUUGUUUAUAUUAUCCUCAAAAUUCUAAGUUGGACCAAAAUGUAAAGUUUUUUGAUCUUUUAUUUAAAUUUUAUGACUUAAUUUAGAUUGAUUCGCUCCUCCAUUUUCUCCCGCAAUUCUCGGAGGGAUCCCGACCUCCCUCUCCGCCGAAACCCUAACCCCAUUAGAGCUACUGUUUCGCGAGCUCGAUCUCCUCCAUGGAUGGAAAUGGUGGUGGUGGUGGGCACUACCAUGCUCUAUCUCCGGAGGGGGGGUGUUUAGGGUAAUCCGGAGUUAGGAGAGUUGAAUGACUGCUGAAAGAAGUAUGAUGUCGGGGGAUUUUUAUGCUAUGCCAAGCUUUUUUUGGCUUGUGAUGCUUCCUGCAUGGUAUAAGCAUUACGCUGGAGCUCAGGCUUUUGAUGAUGCUUCUAUAAUGCUUUUGCAAAGAUUCUUUGGUGAUUCACAGUUGUGCCGUAGUCCUGAGAAGAGCUUUGACAGUAGUGAUGAGCGUCAAGAGAAGUGACUAGAGUUUAGAGUGCUGCGGGGGGUUCAAGCCGUGGGUGUGAAGGAGAAGAAAAAUGAAGUAGAAAAUUGUAAUGGAAUUUGACAGUAACUGGGAAAAGGAUUACAUGAGUUUAAGUUAUUUUUCGGAUUUGGAUUGAAUACUGUCUCCGCACCACUUCGAUGAGCAAGUUCGUUCCCCCAACGCUUUCUGCCAUUGUGGAAUACCUCUAGCAGAAUGCAACAUGUUGGCAAGCUCUCAGCAGCCUAGAGUCUGUACUGAUGUCGGCAGACUACAUAGCAGACCUGCACAAGGUGGUGUACCGGUGAGGAAAUCCAUGUUUAAGACGUAUAGUGACUUUCUAAUGAAAGAUGUUACAAUCAGGUAAUAUUUUCCCAAACAUUUCCAAGUUCUGGUGUUGCAAGUUUAGAUUGCUUUAUUGGAGAACGGAAGGAUAUACUGUAAUGAAAUACAGGUAGUAUUACAAGCGAAUGAAAAGUUGACAUGCAGUGUGAUGUGAGUUUAUAUAAGGUUAAGAACAUUUUAGGGAGAAUAGGUAGCAAAAGAACUACAAUUUUAAUGGCUUUUAGCGUGUAUGCUGAUUUUUUAUUGCCUUGUGAUACUUCCCACAUUCUCAUAACUGUUACAUGAAGACUUCUCUCUACUUUCGACCUAUAUAUUCUGAAA